ACGUACACUCCUACGGGAGGCAGCAGUGGGGAAUCUUGCGCAAUGGGCGAAAGCCUGACGCAGCCAUGCCGCGUGAAUGAUGAAGGUCUUAGGAUUGUAAAAUUCUUUCACCGGGGACGAUAAUGACGGUACCCGGAGAAGAAGCCCCGGCUAACUUCGUGCCAGCAGCCGCGGUAAUACGAAGGGGGCUAGCGUUGCUCGGAAUUACUGGGCGUAAAGGGAGCGUAGGCGGACAUUUAAGUCAGGGGUGAAAUCCCGGGGCUCAACCUCGGAAUUGCCUUUGAUACUGGGUGUCUUGAGUAUGAGAGAGGUGUGUGGAACUCCGAGUGUAGAGGUGAAAUUCGUAGAUAUUCGGAAGAACACCAGUGGCGAAGGCGACACACUGGCUCAUUACUGACGCUGAGGCUCGAAAGCGUGGGGAGCAAACAGGAUUAGAAACCCCAGUAGUCCCAUG
rnacentral:rRNA from 1 species